UGUCCAGGCGCCCAUACUCACUGGCA
rnacentral:piRNA from 1 species